AGAGUUUGAUCAUGGCUCAGGACGAACGCUGGCGGCGUGCUUAACACAUGCAAGUCAGGGAGAACGAGGUAGCAAUAUCUCUAGUAAACCGGCGCACGGGUGAGUAACACGUAGGCAAUCUACCCUUUGGACGGGGACAACCUCGAGAAAUCGGGGCUAAUACCCGAUAAUGCAGCGGCACCGCAUGGUGAUGUUGUUAAAGGCCCCAAAAGGGCGCCAAUGGAUGAGCCUGCGUCCCAUUAGGUAGUUGGCGGGGUAAUGGCCCACCAAGCCGACGAUGGGUAGCUGGUCUGAGAGGAUGAUCAGCCACACUGGAACUGAGACACGGUCCAGACUCCUACGGGAGGCAGCAGUGAGGAAUAUUGCGCAAUGGCCGAAAGGCUGACGCAGCGACGCCGCGUGGAGGAUGAAGUCCGUUAGGAUGUAAACUCCUUUUGCAGGGGAUGAAUGUUCCGCCUUGUGCGGACUUGACCGUACCCUGCGAAUAAGGAUCGGCCAACUACGUGCCAGCAGCCGCGGUAAUACGUAGGAUCCGAGCGUUGUCCGGAAUUACUGGGUGUAAAGGGCGUGUAGGUGGAUUUCAAAGUCGGUGGUGAAAUCCUGCAGCUCAACUGCAGAAUUGCCUCCGAUACUGGAGAUCUUGAGUGCGGCAGAGGGAGACGGAAUUCAUGGUGUAGCGGUGAAAUGUGUAGAUAUCAUGAAGAACACCGGUUGCGAAGGC
rnacentral:rRNA from 1 species